AGGAAGGACUUUAAAAAUUCGUUUAAAUGACAAAAGGAAAUAAUGAAAACUGGACAAGAAAACCUAGAACCUUAAUUUCUCAUACACUGUUGUAGCUGUCUGUCUGUCUGUCUAUUUUGACUGUCACUCCGUUUCUCUAAAUAGCUGGCUACCUAGCUGUUAUUUAUCUCUCUAUUCAAAUAAUAACUAGCUAUCUAUCUAGCUAACUUGUAGUUAUCUCUGAUGGAUAGAUGGAUGGAUAGAUAGAUUUUUUUCUAGACAAUGAGAUCAGCAAGGAAAACAUACUUUAAAUUCACGAAAACGGUCACACACCCACAUAGGUAUACACACACGUACUACUUAUAAGCAGUGCAAAAUAAUUUUUUAAAACACUUAAUCAACAUCACCACCGACAUCAUUUGUGUUCCAAAAGAUAUCAGGAAGAAAAAGAGAGAGAAAAAAAAAUACGUUUUGCUGACCAACUGAAAAUGAAAAUCUAAACCAAGUUUAAUUAUGUACUGGUGAUGACAAUUCUUGUUUACUGAUUAUCAGCAAAUCUUUAUUAAUUGUCAACAACCGACAGAAAUAAUAUUUUUGUGCAUGUCAUAAACGAAAGGAGAAGCAAAAGCGCAAAAAAUAAAAUACGAGGAAAAGAAGGGGAAAAAUAUCUGUU